rnacentral:rRNA from 1 species
UUACCCACUCCCGGCACGGGGAGGUAGUGACGAAAAAUAACGAUACGGGACUCAUCCGAGGCCCCGUAAUCGGAAUGAGUACACUCUAAACCCUUUAACGAGGAUCAAUUGGAGGGCAAGUCUGGUGCCAGCAGCCGCGGUAAUUCCAGCUCCAAUAGCGUAUAUUAAAGUUGUUGCGGUUAAAAAGCUCGUAGUCGAAUCUGUGUCUCGCGCCGCUGGUUCAUCGUCCGCGGUGUCAACUGGCGUGCCGCGAGACNUCCUGCCGGUGGGCUUAGCUCGCAAGGGCGGCCCAACUCAAUCCCGCCGCGGUGCUCUUCAUUGAGUGUCGAGGUGGGCCGGCACGUUUACUUUGAACAAAUUAGAGUGCUUAAAGCAGGUCAAAACUUUGCCUGAAUACUGUGUGCAUGGAAUAAUGGAAUAGGACCUCGGUUCUAUUUUGUUGGUUUUCGGAACCCCGAGGUAAUGAUUAAUAGGAACGGAUGGGGGCAUUCGUAUUGCGACGUUAGAGGUGAAAUUCUUGGAUCGUCGCAAGACGGACAGAAGCGAAAGCAUUUGCCAAAAACGUUUUCAUUGAUCAAGAACGAAAGUUAGAGGUUCGAAGGCGAUCAGAUACCGCCCUAGUUCUAACCAUAAACGAUGCCAGCUAGCGAUCCGUCGACGUUCCUCCGAUGACUCGACGGGNAGCUUCCGGGAAACCAAAGCUUUUGGGUUCCGGGGGAAGUAUGGUUGCAAAGCUGAAACUUAAAGGAAUUGACGGAAGGGCACCACCAGGAGUGGAGCCUGCGGCUUAAUUUGACUCAACACGGGAAACCUCACCAGGCCCGGACACCGGAAGGAUUGACAGAUUGAGAGCUCUUUCUUGAUUCGGUGGGUGGUGGUGCAUGGCCGUUCUUAGUUGGUGGAGCGAUUUGUCUGGUUAAUUCCGAUAACGAACGAGACUCUAGCCUGCUAACUAGGCGUAUUUUGACAUCGCAAAGGCCCGCCGGCNUGGGG